GAUGUAGAUACAUGUAUUUGUUCAACUGGUAUAAAAGCAUAGAAGAUGGGUGUAAAAUGAGUCUUCCUUUUCAAACCAGAACUCAUUGUUCAGGAUCAGUUCUGAUAUAUUAAAGAAGAAAUAUG